GCGAAAGCCUGACGGAGCAACGCCGCGUGAGUGAUGAAGGUCUUCGGAUCGUAAAACUCUGUUAUCAGGGAAGAACAAACGUGUAAGUAACUGUGCACGUCUUGACGGUACCUGAUCAGAAAGCCACGGCUAACUACGUGCCAGCAGCCGCGGUAAUACGUAGGUGGCAAGCGUUAUCCGGAAUUAUUGGGCGUAGAGCGCGCGUAGGCGGUUUUUUAAGUCUGAUGUGAAAGCCCACGGCUCAGCCGUGGAGGGUCAUUGGAAACUGGAAAACUUGAGUGCAGAAGAGGAAAGUGGAAUUCCAUGUGUAGCGGUGAAAUGCGCAGAGAUAUGGAGGAACACCAGUGGCGAAGGCGACUUUCUGGUCUGUGACUGACGCUGAUAUGCGAAAGCGUGGGGACUAAAGGGAUUAGAUACCCC
rnacentral:rRNA from 1 species